rnacentral:rRNA from 1 species
AUGCCAAUUGCAAAGAUGGCGGAGAAGUUGUUGUGCCAGCGCAUGGGCGUUGUGGAUGAAGGCCAAGAAAUCACAGAAGAAGCCAUUGGAAAAUUCGUGGCUAUGUUCUAAGGGCAGCUCCCUGACAUCACGGUGGCGGCUCUCCGGGCGCUGUUCAACCUCGACUGCGAUUUGGUGCAAGCCGUCGAGGAUGCCUUGGUGGCACAUGGUGGUGAGACGGGACCGGAGCUGCAGGAAACGACGAGGGACGUGCCCGGCACGGCGGAGUGA